rnacentral:rRNA from 1 species
ACGACUCUCGGCAACGGAUAUCUCGGCUCUUGCAUCGAUGAAGAACGUAGCGAAAUGCGAUACUUGGUGUGAAUUGCAGAAUCCCGUGAACCAUCGAGUCUUUGAACGCAAGUUGCGCCCAAAGUCUUUUAGACCGAGGGCACGUCUGCCUGGGCGUCAC